GGACGAAAUUACCUCAUGUACAUCUGAGCAUGCGCGAUACGUACAUCCGAUUGUUCCCGUUGAGCGGAACUUGGUUUCCAAUGAGUUUUCUCACGAUGUUUGUAAACUUCCGCUGACGUAUGAUCGGGAUUCCUACCGAAGCUUCUUGGACAGAUGGGGAACGCACGUCACUAUGGAGGUAGACCUGGGUAUACGUAAUGUGUCUAGACACCGGCUGUCUAUUUCAGACCUAGCUACCUACCUACUAGAUUCGGGCCGUGAUGGAGCUGCAAUAUUACAAACAGAGGAUCUCAUGGGGUACGGCUCGGUCAUCAAGUUGAACAUGUCCAACAUUCACCACAGCGACUUCCCUAAACUCCCCCACGGCGCCUCUCUCACCGAGUUCAGCACCGGUGCGCAAGUCCAGGCUCCAAUUUCCUGGACUAUGAUUGCCAUUUCUGACGUCAUGGCGGAAGAAUAUUGGCGAGUGCAAGACAGUCUCGUCGACAGCGGGAUUUGUCGAGAAAUAAACCUGACCGUAUGGAAAAUGAAUUUAGAGAGAGCACUGAUUGAUUACCCUUCGCUCAUAGGGGGCGAAGUCCCACCCCCUGGAGAUAAAGCUUCCAGUCACUUGGCCUUCUGGAACAUACGGGCUGUACAUGUCAACUUCCGGUUGUCCGACAGACCCAAUAGGAUUUGAAACCGGAUACGUGACACAAGAUACGGAGGAUCGCAGUAAUUCAAACCAAUGGUCGGGCGGGAUACACAUGACAGGGCCAUUAAAUAAUGACGCCAUCACGACACGUUUCUGUGUGAAGCAGACGACAACCACCACGGAGUACAGCAGACCCUGGCCCAAGGGGAACUACUGCAUCGCCAAGAAGUUUAACUGUCCCUCUGGAUUCAGCACCGGAUAUCUACACUGGGAUGAUGAAGAUGGUAACAACGAGAACAGUCAUGGCGGAAUUCUGCCUGACGGUAGCUACACCACAAACACUGAUAUCUACUACUGCUGCAGACAAGAUGGCCACACGCACUCCCAAAUACUGAUGCCGAUCGACUCGCCAUUUUAUCUUCUGCGAUUCACCAGUGAUUGUCAACAGGUGCUUGGAAUGCAUGUUGCCGAAGAAUUCAUCUUCUUUGAUGACGAGGAUGGGGCGAAUUCGGACAAAUGCGGCGGUGCUCAUCCGUUCGUGGAUUCCGGUUGCAGCCAUGCCAAUAUGAGGCUGCAUUUCUGCUACUAUAGCACAAAACCAAACCAGACCGAAAUAUCUAUUCCCGGAAUACUUGGUUGACACUGAUGUUUUACUAAUGUGUGAAUAAAUCUGAAUCAUUUGAGUGAUUCUAACUGAAUGAUUCCAUAAAUAUUGCAGAA
rnacentral:misc_RNA from 1 species